AGCUGCCCGAAUCCCUCUCCUUCUUCUUUGUUUUAUCUCCGCAUUGUGAUAGAACUCCGUACCUAGGCAAAAUCUGUGAGUUUUUUUGUUCUUUUCCCGUACGAUUGAAGAUGCAGCGGUUGUGUUAACACUGCACCUUGUUGUGGCUGUUUUGUAUUUUUUGUAAUUCUGGGCAAACGGCAAGCUUGGUUUGGCGCAAUUGUGAUGCUUCAUUUCUGAUUCUUACAGCACCAAGUGAUUAGGUGUGCAUACUAUUCUUGAACUCGGACAUCGUGGUUGUAGGACCUUAAUUUUUCUUCUCUCAAGUUGGUCAUGGAUUGCGGCCUCUUGCAGCUUCUGGUUUUGAGCUUGUAAUUGUAAGCUUGAAUUGUUGUAGGUUUAAUUGUGGUUGACUGUCUCGUUGACCUUCCUUCGAGAUCCUAUUUGCUCGGUGAGCAAAGGGGAGGAUAUUGGCUAAAUUUAUGGUGGCGCUAGUGCAAGAGUCGGCAUUGCGAUGCAGAAGCUUAUAUUGAUCCCAGGGAACUUUCGAGGUGGAUCCAAGAGCGGCUGAGGAGGUUGUGUUGGGUUGUCCCAUUAUGAGCUCAACAAGAGUUGUUGUCCUCAUGUGUAGAUUAUUGGAAGUGGCGAUGCGUCGCAUGUGAUUGACGUUCCCUAAAUGUAAAUCCGUUGAAGUAGCAUCAACAUUUGCAUUUAACUUCAACUUUGUUAGAGUUUUAGUUGUUUGUUUAGUUCACUGGAGAAGUGCGGUUUUGGUGCCUUGGUGGUAUCUAUCGUUGUGGUAGACCUUGUUGAAGGAUCCACUUGGCUAUGAUCAUUGGUUUUUGCACAAUGAAACUUGAUACAUUGACAUUGUGUUCAAGGCGGUGGAGGCGUGAUCAUCUGAUUGGUUGUCAUCGCUUUGAGUGUUUUUAGGGUUGCAAGAGCAAUCAAAGCCACAUGGAUAGCGGAGUUGUCGGUUGAGUAAAGAAUUUUUUAUUUGCUCACAUGUACGGUGGCUGCUUGCGAUUGAAGACUCUUGAGACUUGACAUGGUUGCGUGUAGUCUGAUAGAAUUGUUACAAGUUGUCACCUAGCGAUUGGAGCUACCAUUUUGGAUCCUUGCAACAAUGUGGCUCAUUGCACAAUAGUGGGUAGCACUGGGGGAACUCAUCGAUUUGACAUUUUCAUUGGUGGCUAAUUUUGGCGACAUAGGAGUGUACACAAAAAAAGGGUACUUGUUAAUGCUUUUUAGAGGCUCUUAAUUCUUUCAACUUUUGAUUGAGUAAUUGUUUAGCAAGAUGUGAUUCGGGCUGCUCAACAUGAGCUGUGCCUUGAGAAUCGUCUGCAAGGAGAAAAAAAAACGAUUAUUGAUGAACAUCCGAUUGUUGUAUUUCCAAGAGUA